rnacentral:rRNA from 1 species
UUUGAUGGCGACCGGCGCACGGGUGAGUAACACGUAUCCAACCUGCCGAUGACUCGGGGAUAGCCUUUCGAAAGAAAGAUUAAUACCCGAUGGCAUAGUUCUUCCGCAUGGUAGAACUAUUAAAGAAUUUCGGUCAUCGAUGGGGAUGCGUUCCAUUAGGUUGUUGGCGGGGUAACGGCCCACCAAGCCUUCGAUGGAUAGGGGUUCUGAGAGGAAGGUCCCCCACAUUGGAGCUGAGACACGGUCCAAACUCCUACGGGAGGCAGCAUG